GGAGAAGAGACUGAGAGAUAGAAAAGAAUUUUCUUAGUGUGCAGAAGGUCCCAGGUUCAAUUCCUGGCAUCUCCA
rnacentral:tRNA from 1 species